GAGCUCACUGCAAAUGCUGCCAGUUUGUCUCCUGCCCUGCAAACGCUGCUCGUUUUGAAGGAGCAGUACUGCUGUCCUGGAGGAAUCCUCAGCACUGAGUGCCUUUCAGCUGUGCUGAGGUGGUGCUGAGGGCUGAAGACACCAGUUGGAUGCUCAGUGCCCUCCCCUUGCCCUUUCCUUCAGGGCUUUGGGCUGAGUGACCAAGGCAGGAGGCAAGCAGCUGAGCAUCUCACCCCCCACAUCAUACCCCAAACCUGGAGUAUGACUCCAUGUGCCCCUGUGGGGCAGGAACCUGCUUGUAGGCAGCUGCCAGAGGAAAGCUGAUUCCUGAUAACUCAUCUAAGAAGGAAAAAACAACUGCUUCAACUUUGUGCCACAUCUUGACAAGCCUUAAUCUAAUAUGGGAAAAAAAGAGAAGUGAAAUAACCAGACUAUCAUAGAAUGGCUUGAGUUCGAAGAGACCCUUGAAGGCCAUCUGUUCCCAUUCCCUGCACCGAGAAGAGACAACCAAAGCUCCAUCAGUGCUCGGAGCCCUGUCCAGCCUGACCUUGGCUGUCUGCAGGGAUGGGACACCACCACCUCUCUGGGCAGCUGUGAUAUCCUUAGCACAGUGUCCAUAUGGCUGAUAGUAAGGAAACUGACCCUCACCUGCUGCCCUGAGACCGGGGGGGAAGCAGUGGCUGGGAAAAGCUGCAGAUCACAUCU
ensembl:lncRNA